rnacentral:rRNA from 1 species
AGUAACACGUGGAUAACCUACCUAUAAGACUGGGAUAACUUCGAGAAACCGGAGCUAAUACCGGAUAANAUUUUGAACCGCAUGGUUCAAAAGUGAAAGACGGUCUUGCUGUCACUUAUAGAUGGAUCCGCGCUGCAUUAGCUAGUUGGUAAGGUAACGGCUUACCAAGGCAACGAUGCAUAGCCGACCUGAGAGGGUGAUCGGCCACACUGGAACUGAGACACGGUCCAGACUCCUACGGGAGGCAGCAGCG